AUCUACCUGACGAGUCCCAAAUAGGAAAAAACGCGCGUCCUGGAU
rnacentral:hammerhead_ribozyme from 1 species